AUGCUGUCCAUCAGGCUUUGCUGCUGUUGGCCUUUCUUCAUGGGGGGCAUCAGGUGCCUUUACAGGGGAGACAAGGCAGAAGAGGGGUGCGUACGGCUGGUUAGCGCAGGCCGGGGGGCCACACGGAGCCUGACGCCGCUGGGGCGCGAAACUGCCUGUUCUGCUCCCUGCCCCGCCCAAGCACCGCCAUGUGGUACCUGCCAAGCGCCCACGAGCCCCGGCCCCUUCAAGCAGGAGCGUGGAAAUGACCUGUUGAAAAGUGGGCGCCUGGAGCCCCCGCCCGAGCACAGAGGCACUGCGUAGAGAUGGCUGGUGCGCCCAGGAUGGGCAUCACUCCCCACGUGGGAGCGCUGCCCCUCCCCACACGUGUCAGGGCCCCGAGGAAUAAAUCUCCAAGGACUCCUUGGCGUGGCCAUUUCAGGACCCUUUCCUGCAGAGCAUGAAGCAAAUCUAGGUGCUGCUGGACAAGGUACCGUAAAGAGCCAGGGAAGAGGCUUGAAACAGAAGAGAGACAGGAUCACACAAGCCAGGUGAGCACAUCAAGUACCUGCAGCACUAGGAAGAAAGUACGGAAAGAGACGGAAAGGGCCAAAGACAGUGUCAGCUUUUGGAACUUGUCCCCCUUGGCCCUGAUGAUGGUAAGUUGCAGAAAGGAAGGAGUAAGUGAGUGAGGAAACAUGAAAUAAGUUAUAAAAUUUGGGUGACUUGUCUAUUAAGUAAAUAACUUUUUAAUGAAGUAAACCAGUGAUUUUCAACCAGUGUGCCACAAGAAUU